UACGAAGGGGGCUAGCGUUGUUCGGAAUUACUGGGCGUAAAGGGCGCGUAGGCGGCGCGACAAGUCACUUGUGAAAUCUCCGGGCUUAACCCGGAGCGGCCAAGUGAUACUGUAGUGCUAGAGUGCGGAAGGGGCUACUGGAAUUCUCGGUGUAGCGGUGAAAUGCGUAGAUAUCGAGAGGAACACCUGCGGCGAAGGCGGGUAGCUGGGCCGACACUGACGCUGAGGCGCGAAAGCCAGGGGAGCGAACGGG
rnacentral:rRNA from 1 species